GGGAAGGGGUGCGGCUCCCACCCGCACAGGCCUCUGCUCCCCAGAUAGUCCCGGCUCCUCCACUCUUUCCGCUCUGCUCCCCGAGGACCCCCCACGGAGCUGCACGGAUGCGUGGUUUCCUGCCCGCGGGCGGCGUCGCCCUUCUGCGGGCUCAGUACCGGGAAAGGGGCGUCCGCCGCGGAGCAGGGAGGGCGGCCGGCUGUGGACAUAACGGGCGUUCUUACCUUCCGGGGCGCUGCUCACUCGGGGGAUUUGCCGGGAAUCGCCGGAACCAAAGCUCCCUGCGGCCAGGGCAGCCAUGACGGGCACGCGGUGGGUCUUCCGGUUCCUGGUCAUGGUGUUCAUGGAUCGGAAACAGGACGAGGUCUCAUCUCCUUUCUCAUCUCCCGAGGAGAGACCGUCAGGAUAGGACUGGUGCCAUUUCCCACGAAUAUCUCAGCAAGACCUUCCUGCCCAGAAUCAGAGAUUCUCAGAGCACCAGAGAGGGAGGCACCAGCCACGGGGUCCCAGGCUGGGGCUGGCUGGGCCUGAAUCCCAAGCCUGGAGCAGACGAGGAACGGGGAGUUGGGAGAGGAGCACGGGCCUGGGCCGAGGAGAUGGAAUUAAGUCCACGGAGUGAAUGCCUCACGCUGCCGCCCCCUCGGGCUCUGGAGGAGUUGGAGAUGCAACAGUCCUGACUGAAGCCAGUGGGCAGACUUGAACCCAAUGUCAUGGCAGCCCAAGGACUGGAACAUAAGUCAAGGGCCGUGUGUGGAAUGCCAUAUGUCUGCCAGGCUGCUUCGUCUGGAGAAAGGACCUCCAUUCUCUCUUUGAGCCCAGAGACUUUUCUGGCUUCUCAGUGUGCCAUGGGACAGGGAGAGCAGUGAGGCCCAGAGCCAAAGUUGCCCUUGACUGGACUCUCCUCUGCCCCUGCCUCGCUGUGCAUUUUGGCCCCAUCUCAGCAGCUCGAAGAAGAGGACACCGGGGUCCCAGCUCCACCUGCACCAUUGACCUUGAACGCUGAGACACUGCUUCAACUUUCUUCCCUGCGAAAUGGGGCUGCUGAGUCUAUCAACCUCAGAGAGGUGACACGACCCGUGAAGCUCUUGGGACACCCUUGACACCCAGCAGAAUGAGCCUGAACCCGGAGACUACGUGCCCCAGCCUCAGCCCUGCCUCAGCUCCCCCAGUUCGGCAACUAUGAAGGGCUCGAGUCAGCCAGGCCUGGGUUCAA